rnacentral:rRNA from 1 species
CCUACGGGAGGCAGCAGUGAGGAAUAUUGGUCAAUGGACGAGAGUCUGAACCAGCCAAGUAGCGUGAAGGAUGACUGCCCUAUGGGUUGUAAACUUCUUUUAUAUGGGAAUAAAAUGUUCCACGUGUGGGAUUUUGUAUGUACCAUAUGAAUAAGGAUCGGCUAACUCCGUGCCAGCAGCCGCGGUAAUACGGUGGAUCCGAGCGUUAUCCGGAUUUAUUGGGUUUAAAGGGAGCGUAGGUGGAUUGUUAAGUCAGUUGUGAAAGUUUGCGGCUCAACCGUAAAAUUGCAGUUGAAACUGGCAGUCUUGAGUACAGUAGAGGUGAGCGGAAUUCGUGGUGUAGCGGUGAAAUGCUUAGAUAUCACGAAGAACUCCGAUUGCGAAGGCAGUUCACUGGACUGCAACUGACACUGAGGCUCGAAAGUGUGGGUAUCAAACAGGAUUAGAUACCCUUGUAGUC